GAUUCGGUUCGGUUAGGUUUGAACUGAAUGUUCACCCCUAGUUUAGGUACUAAAAUAUACUUUGCCCUGUUUAUUUCAAUAUAUCCAAAGGUAAUGUUCCUUCUGAUAUUUGGGUUUGUUUGGUUAUUAAAAUUUUUGAGUUUGUUUAGAAAAAUUAUGUUUGAUUGUUAAAAUUUGGGUUGGUUUGGGGGUGAAAGUCUGUGGCCUGCAAGAAGG
rnacentral:misc_RNA from 1 species